ensembl:lncRNA
CGUUAACCCCGGCGCGGCCCGCAAUCUCUCCCGCAGGGCGAGGCGGAGUCCAGGGACAGCACCCCCGAGAAGACCGUUGGGAUCUCCGGUCCGGUGGCGGCCCGCACGAACCACUCCUGCCUGGGGUCACCUGUCCCAGUGUUUGGGGCUCCGAUUCUAGUUUAUUUGGAGAACUUUCGGCAGAGAAUGAGAUGGUUAGACAGCAUCACCGACUCAAUGGACAGAAGUCUGAGGAAACUCCGGGAGACAGUGGAGCCUGGCGUGGUGCAAUCCAUGGGGUCGCAAAGAGACCGACACGACUUAGCGACUGAACAGCAGCACCGACUUAUCUAUUUACUUGAGUGAGUGAGUGAAGUCGCUCAGUCGUGUCCGACUCUUUGCGACCCCAUGGACUGUAGCCCACCAGGUUCCUCCAUCCAUGGAAUUUUCUAGGCAAGAGUACUGGAGUGGGUUACCAUUUCCUUCUCCAGCGGAUCUUCCCGACCUGGGGAUCGAACCCGUGUCUCCCGCAUUGCGGGCAGACGCUUUACCGUCUGAGCCACCAGGGAAUCGCAUCUAUUUACUUAGCGGUUAUAUUUUUAAAAUAGUUCUUUAAAUAAGCACUGGAGGCAUGUUUAGAGAAUUCACAUAGAAAAGAAGCGUAGCGCAGAGUGAAUUUCUUACCCACCCUUAUUCCCAGAGGCCACGGUUAAUUGUAUCUCCUUUCGGAGAGAUUCGAAGUCAAUGACAAAUCUUCCUUACUACGGACAAUACUAUAGAAAAAAGAUUCAAGGGCACAUUUCUUUGGCCAAUUGUGCAGGCUUAUGUAGGAUGAAUUCCUAGAAGUGAAACUUCCCAGAAUCCACGGGGGAAAGACCUGUGUAUUUUAAUUUGGAGAGAGAUUGUCAAACAGAUUGAACUGACUUGGAAAAGACUGUGAAGCUGGGAAAGUUUGAAGGCAAAAGAAGAGGGUGGCCGAGGAUGAGAUGGUUACAUAGCAUCACCGACAUAACUUUGAACAAACUCUGGUAGAUCGUGGAGGACAGAGGAGCCUGGCGUGCUGAAGUCCAUAGGGUCACAAAGAGCCGAACACAACUUAGCGACUGAACAGCAUCAAUUGUUAAGUUGUUUUUCAGUGAGCUUCUGCCAAUAAUGCUCUAAUCAGCUGGUUUUCCCACAACCUUUGCAACCUCAAUGGCAUCACAGUUUCCUGUACAUGUACUUUCAAAGUUUUAAAUCUUGCCUAAUCUGUUGCAUUGACUAGCACCUCCAGACAAUAUUAAAUCAUUGGAGGAGAUGGGUGGACUGUGAGUAUCCCUCCACUCCAGCUCAGUUUAGUUUCUUCACUUUGACGGUAAAACUUCUAGUAUUUGCCCAUUAAACUCAACACUGCCUUUGGCUUGAGAUUUUUCCGUUCAAUGAGGAAAUGCUCGUUAUUUUUAAUUGAGACUUUGUGUAAUGGAUGCUGUGAAUAGUACCAUUUCACUCUAUGAUUUUGCUUCCUGAUGCAUUAAUACGGCUAUUAACAUGCUUCCUAAUACUGAACCAUCUCUGAGUCACAAGCAGGAGCCUCCUUCUUAUGGUCUACUUUUAAAGAGUUGCCACUAGAGCUUUCAUAAAGCUUUAAAAACUGCCACCAGAAUUUUAAAAGGUAUUAGUGGUGGUUUUACACCUAUGCUGAUGCAGUGGGGGUGGGGCCCACACGGACAACUCCAUGCGUGUUCCACAGGCACCUUCUGUCCACCCUUCCUUUCCAAGCUUCUUCAGUCACUCCUCUCACAGACUUUGCUCUUGACAUCUGGAGUGGGGAUAAGCAGAACCCAGGACCCAUAAUUCCUCUGGACUCAUACUCCAUGAUCCCUUCCAGGGUCCCAACUCCAACGCCCACCCAAACUAUGACCUGGGCAGGCAGGGUCGCCACUGAUUUUCUUGUGUUUGCUGAGUGACUGUGUGAAGCAUCUGCAGUGUCCUGAGACUUUCGGCUGUGGCUGGGCUAAGCCUUGUCUCUAAAUUACCACUUUCAAUCCCAAGGAAAGCCCAGUACUGACACCCUGAGAGGGUAAUAGGCAGGAAGGCUAGGGGUCCCCAGAUGGAGGAAAUAGGUUGCAAGUGUCAGACAUUUUUUUUUUCUCUCUCUUAAGUGGCAGGAGGAAACAAACUACAAGUGUCAGACAUUUUCCCCUUCUCUAUGCAAAAUUAAAAGGUUUCUUUAAAAAUUUUGUGUUGCCAUGAUGACACCUGGUUCCACCUGAAAUUAACUUUUCUCAAACCUUGAGCUAACCAAUGCGUUUUUCUUAUGGAAAUUUUUUCUUAAGCUAUGUUAAUGAACUAUGUACUUACCUUAGACUCUGUCUUUCAUCAAGUAGGUUCUGCCUAAGACUCAGAAAACCAGCAUGUUUUACUCACGGAAAUGUUCUCUUAAGCUAUGUUAAUGCAACUGUGUAUUUGCUUGGAAAUCUGCCUUUCUUCAAGAUUCAAGUCAAUUUUUUUUAAGGAAUUUAUUUGGUCGCAAGAGGUCUUCGUUGAGGCGUGUGGAAUCUAGUUCCCUGACCACGGACUGAACCUGGGCCCCCUGCAUUGGAAGCAUAGACUCUUAACCACUGGGCCACCAGGGAAGUCCCCAUGUCAACUGUUGUAUGGCCUGGGAUGACUCACCUUGUGCCAGUGUUAUCGCAAAAUGCAUGUUGUGGGUGAGGGGCCGGGUGCCACUCUGAGUUUUCAGACAUUUCCUUUUCUCUAAUUAGCAGCUUACUAAUAGGUAUAUAACUUCUUGCUGAAAACUAGCAAGUUAAUAAAACUUUAUUACACAAAA